UUCUAUCAUUUUUGCUCGCUCAACCAGAUCAACAAGUUCAAUAAUUCUGAGACUUACCAAUUGAAUCUUGAUUUCAUCUCGCAGUCCCCGUAGAAAUCGUUUACAACUAUCAGCCUCGGUUGGAACAUAUUCUAAAGCAUACCUGCUCAAUUUAGAGAACUCUCGCUCAUUAUCCAGUACUGACAUAUUCCACUGUUUCAACACUAAAAACUCUUGCUUUUUCUCUUCAAUGUACAAUUCCCCAAUAUACUUCUUCUGAAAUUCUUUUUGAAACAAGUCCCAAGUUACCUGAUCAUCCGGC
rnacentral:lncRNA from 1 species